UACGAAGGGGGCUAGCGUUGCUCGGAAUCACUGGGCGUAAAGGGUGCGUAGGCGGGUUUUUAAGUCAGAGGUGAAAUCCUGGAGCUCAACUCCAGAACUGCCUUUGAUACUGAAGAUCUUGAGUUCGGGAGAGGUGAAUGGAACUGCGAGUGUAGAGGUGAAAUUCGUAGAUAUUCGCAAGAACACCAGUGGCGAAGGCGGCUCACUGGCCCGAUACUGACGCUGAGGUGCGAAAGCGUGGGGAGCAAACAGG
rnacentral:rRNA from 1 species